rnacentral:rRNA from 1 species
UACGUAGGGACCGAGCGUUGUCCGGAAUCAUUGGGCGUAAAGAGCGUGUAGGCGGCCCCUUAAGUCCUGCGUGAAAUCCUGCGGCUCAACCGCAGACGGUCGUGGGAAACUGGAGGGCUAGAGUGCGGGAGAGGAGAGUGGAAUUCCCGGUGUAGCGGUGAAAUGCGCAGAUAUCGGGAGGAACACCAGUAGCGAAGGCGGCUCGCUGGGCCACACCUGACGCUGAGACGCGAAAGCUAGGGGAGCGAACAGG